AUUGAACGCUGGCGGCAUGCUUUACACAUGCAAGUCGAACGGUAACAGGCCUUCGGGUUCUGACGAGUGGCGGACGGGGGAGUAAUGCAUCGGAACGUGCCCAGAGGUGGGGGAUAACGCAGCGAAAGCUGUGCUAAUACCGCAUGUGAUCUGAGGAUGAAAGCGGGGGACCAGGCAGCAAUGUUUGGCCUCGCGCCUUUGGAGCGGCCGAUGUCAGAUUAGGUAGUUGGUGGGGUAAAGGCCUACCAAGCCGACGAUCUGUAGCUGGUCUGAGAGGACGACCAGCCACACUGGGACUGAGACACGGCCCAGACUCCUACGGGAGGCAGCAGUGGGGAAUUUUGGACAAUGGGCGCAAGCCUGAUCCAGCAAUGCCGCGUGCGGGAAGAAGGCCUUCGGGUUGUAAACCGCUUUUGUACGGAACGAAAAGGCUCUGGCUAAUACCUGGGGCUGAUGACGGUACCGAAAGAAUAAGCACCGGCUAACUACGUG
rnacentral:rRNA from 1 species